rnacentral:lncRNA from 1 species
UUUUUUUUUUUUUCUUCCCCAAGUAUUUACCACUCUGGAAACAAAAACUUUCUCUUCCUUGCUCUCAAAAUAAAUUUGUGUUUGUGCUUUCCUUCAACAUGCCAAUGCGAAAUUUUUCAACUACUCUGUGAAAAAAAUCAAAGCUAGUUAGGCUCUUUAAAUCACAAUAUUUACUGAAAGGGCUCUGUAUAUGACAGAUUUGGACCCUAAAAAGAAAAAGAGUUGCUUCAAAAGCUGUAUGUAAAUAGAAGGCAAUUGGUAAGCAACCCCUGCAAAAUGAAAAGACCCUGUGCCAAUUUGACUUUGGGAAAACUAAAGGACUUAAAGCCCCACUGGGAACAACUUAGAAACACUCUUGGAGUUCCCGUCGUGGCGCAGUGGUUAACAAAUCCGGCUACGAACCACGAGGUUGCGGGUUCAAUCCCUGGCCUUGCUCAGUGGGUUGAGGAUCCGGCAUUGCCGUGAGCUGUGGUGUAGGUCGCAGACGCGGCUCGGAUCCCGCGUUGCUGUGGCUCUGGCUUAGGCUGGUGGCUACAGCUCCGAUUCGACCCCUAGCCUGGGAACCUCCAUAUGCCAUGAGAGCGGCCCAAGAAAAUGGCAAAAAGCCAAAUAAUAAUAAUAAAAAAAAAAGAAACACUCUCACUACCUGUGUGCCAGCUUGUCAAACACAACAAAGCAAAACAGCCGAGUGAAUAUUAGCAGUCUACACAAUUAUAAUAAUUACAAGAAUUACAAACAUCUAGUAUUUUAUCGACUAUUCCCACCUAGAUAGCAUUCUCAGUUGUAUAAGAGUAGUGUUGGAGUUCCCAUCGUGGCGCAGUGGUUAUCCAAUCCAACUAGGAACCAUGAGGUUGUGGGUUCGAUCCCUGGCCUUGCUCAUGGGUUAAGAAUCCAGUGUUGCAGUGAAUUGCAGUGUAGGUGGAAGAGGCAGCUUGGUUCUAGUGUUGCUGUGGCCCGUGGUAUAGGCUGGCAGUUGCAGCUCUGAUUUGACCCCUAGCCUGGAAUUCCAUAUGCUAUGGAUGUGGCCUAAAAUAACUAACUAACUAAAUCAAUAAAUACAUAAAUAAGGUGAAUUUCUCUUUAAAUAGACUACAGACUAAAAUUGGCUAGCAUCUCGUGACUAUUCACGGGAUACAAAGUCUUCUGGUCCAUCCCAUAUUAAGUGGCUAUAUUAGAAGAAAAUGGUCAGCCUCAUCUCAUCUGGUUUGUAUCUCACUCCACAGAGCUUAGGGCCAGAGCAGCACAUUCAACUUUAUGAUGAUAGUUAUUUUAGGUUAUCAAUAGUGAGAAUAUUUUGCUUUUGAAAUAUUCUAAAUAUUUAGCUAUUUAGAUAAUCUUAAUGAAAUUUUUCUUUAAACUCUUCUUUAAAACACUGAAGAUCAUUUCACAAUGUAUACUAAUAUAAACCAUCAUCUUACACACCUUAAAUAUAUACAAUUUUUGUCAAUUAUACCUAAAUAAAUCUAAAAAUAUUCUGAAAAGCAGGGAAGUUGAAAACAUGAAAGAAAGAGAAAUACAAAUAUUGAUGAAACAUGUAAGCACCUAGGGAAAUAAAUCAAAUUUUGAAGUUUAAAAAUAAAAUGUUUAAAGUGAGGGAGGGGUAGGGAGUAGAAGGGGACUGAGAAUUGGAAGUUAGCAGAUACAAAUGAUUACAUUUAGAAUGAAUGAGCAGUGAGGACCUACUGUAUAGAACAGAGAACUAUAUCCAGUCUCUUGGGAUAGAUCAUGAUGGGAGAUAAUAUAAGAAAGGGAAUGUGGGGAGUUCCCAUUGUGGCUCAGUGGGUUAAGACCCCAGUUAGUAUCCAGGACGAUGCGGGUUUGAUCCCUGGCUUCACUCAGUGGGUUAAGGAUCCAGUGGUGAUGCAAGCUGCAGCUCCAAUUUGACUUCUACCCCUGGGAACUUCUGUAUGUCAUAGGUUCAGCUGAAAGGAAGAAAGGAAGAAAGGAAGGAAAGAAGGAAGGAAGGAAGGAAGAGAAAGAAAGAAAGAAAGAAAGAAAGAAAGACAGACAGACAGACAGACAGAAAGAAAGAAAGAAAGGAAGGAAGGAAGGAAGGAAGGAAGAAAGACAGACAGACAGACAGACAGACAGAAAGAAAGGAAGGAAGGAAGGAAGGAAGAAAGGAAGAAAGAAAAAGAAAGAUGUGUGUGUGUAUAUACAUAUAUGUAUGUGUGUGUAUGUGAUGUAUACACACUGUAUCACUUUGCUGUACAGCAGAAAUUGGCACGCUAUAAAUAAACUAUGCUUUGAUAAAAUAAAUGUUUGAAGUGAAUGAUUAAAUCCAACUUGUGCCUUUUCCUUUUCUGAGGAAAGCCCACUUUAGGGAUAACCAUCAAAUGCCUUUCAUUCUCUUUUAUUUGUGACCAGAGGUCCUGCCAUUCAGCACUGAGUGCUGUUCUCUUUGGGGUCCAUGGCUGUGAGCCACAGUGCUUGGUGGGCUGCAGCCCAGUGGCUUGUGGAACAAUCAGGGGACAUGAUAUAAAGGAGCCGUGCAGCCCUUGGCUCCUGCACUCUUGCCAGCACAGCAUCUGUCUCCUCCUUCGACUUAUUACCACACUGAAAUUGCUUUCUGAUACAUCUCUAUUUCCAUACAAAACUGUCAAUCAUUUUCCCUGCCAUGUUCAAUAGGGAAUGGGAGGCGUGCUGAUGGGGCCAUUUGGACAUGGUGUGACAGGAAAAGGUCCAUUUUACAAACCAGCAUCAUAAAACCCAGAGAUUUGCAUCUGCCUUCCCCCUUUUCCUCUUGCUCAUGAAGCCAAACCAAAUUAAACCUGCAAAAUAUUUGCAAUUCACUCUCCUCUACCAACAUUAUGUGAAACAGACUUGACCACCAAAAACCAGUAAAGGUAAAGAAAGGUAUCCUGUUUUUGCAGAAAACGCACAUACACAC